rnacentral:rRNA from 1 species
GCUAAAAAUCUAGCUCUAUUAACACACAUGCAACGAUUCUCCCACAACAUCUUUAAACAAAACAUUUAACCAUUUCUAGUAAAGGAGAUUGAAAAAUUUAUUGAAGCAAUAAAACUAGUACCGCAAGGGAAAGAUGAAAUAUGAAUGAAAAUCAUUAAGCAAAAAAAAGCAGAGCUAUACCCUCGUACCUUUUGCAUCAUGGUUCAACUAGUCCAAUCAAGCAUAAAGCAUUAUAGUUUGACCCCCCGAAACUAGGCGAGCUACUUCAGGGCAGCUUUAUGAGCCAACCCGUCUCUGUUGCAAAAGAGUGGGAAGACCCUUAAGUAGUGGCGACAUACCUAACGAGCCUAGUGAUAGCUGGUUACUUGAGAAAAGAAUUUAAGUCCAACCUAAAAUUUUCCUCUUACAAUAAAAAUACUAUGAUUUUAGAGCAAUUCAAAUAAGGUACAGCCUAUUUGAAACAGGAUACAACCUCAUUCGACGGGUAAAACUCAUUAUUUAACUCCAAGUGGGCCUAAAAGCAGCCACCUUCUUAAAAGCGUCACAGCUUAAUCUAACUUAACCCCUAAUACCCUUAAUCUAUUUUAACCCUCAUUUAGUAUCAAGUAAUCCUAUACUUUUAUAGAAAAUAUUAUGUUGAAACUAGUAACAAGAAGAAAGACCUUCUCUUAAAUGCAAGUAUAAAUCAGAAAGGACAAACCACUGACAACUAACGUCUAUGAUCCCCAAUCAGCAACCUACAAGAAAAACCUAAUUUUCCCCGCGUUAACCUGACACAAGAGCAUUUCAAGAAAGAUUUAAAGAAGGAGAAGGAACUCGGCAAAUAUUAACCCCGCCUGUUUACCAAAAACAUCGCCUCUUGAGUAAAAAUAAGAGGUCCAGCCUGCCCAGUGACAAAUGUUUAACGGCCGCGGUAUCCUAACCGUGCGAAGGUAGCGUAAUCACUUGUUCUUUAAAUGAGGACUAGUAUGAAUGGCACCACGAGGGUUAUACUGUCUCCUCCCUCUAAUCAGUGAAACUAAUCUCCCCGUGAAGAAGCGGGGAUAUAACUAUAAGACGAGAAGACCCUAUGGAGCUUUAAACUUCUCUUCAAACGCCAGAUUACUUCAAUAGUCACUGACUUUAUUACACAUACCUCAGCGUUAUGAAGACGACUUUUAGGUUGGGGUGACCGCGGAGUACAAAAUAACCUCCACGAUGAACAGGCCUCCAAACCUUGAACAAAGGACCACAGCCCGAUGUACUAAAAAACUUACACCAUUGACCCAAUAUAUUUUGAUCAACGAACCAAGUUACCCUAGGGAUAACAGCGCAAUCUACUUCAAGAGUCCCUAUCGACAAGAAGGUUUACGACCUCGAUGUUGGAUCAGGGUAUCCCAGUGGUGCAGCCGCUACUAAAGGUUCGUUUGUUCAACGAUUAAAACCCU